UCCAUGCCUUAUUGUCACAUUUAUCAGAAUAAAGAUAUGCAAUAAUAGUUUACAUUUUGUGCCAAUAUAAUCACAGAGCCGAGAUGUGCUAUGAUGAGGUUUGCAGAUGAGUUUAACCUGUUCAGUGUGAUGAUCGUCAACGACCUCUGUAGUCACAUUUAGACACUUGUUAGCAACCGCCUUUUUCAAGACAAGUAAAAAAAAAAAUCACAAGUAUUACUAAUGUAUUUUAUGUUGUAGAAUAAAACAGGAAAUAUAUUGAACUUGUGUUAGCCACAGAAAAAACCCAUUGUUUUUUGGGACGACGGAAUCAAAAGUAAAACAUGUUAAAACCACUGUCAGCCGACCCGUAAUAUCUGUGAGAUGCACGUGUUUGUAGGUGAGCUCUCUGGGUUGGUUGGAGAGGAAAACCGCAGCUACGAUUUAUGAAAGUCCUCCCACAUCCUCACUGAACGAAGCUCUGGAGAACUUCCUCAAGGCGGAGGAGUUAAAUCCAGGCUUCUCCAAAGCAGUUCGCCUGUAUAUAGCCAAGUGUCAUAAGGAGCUCGGAAACGUGUCAGAGGCCAGAAAUUGGGUCCAUUUAGCUCUGAGCACACCAGCAGGAGCAAAUGAGGAAUCUGACAGCGCUGCUUUACAGGAGGAGCUGAAGGCUUUGAUUGACAGCAAAAGUGACCUAUAAGCAGUAUGAAUAAUUAAUGAAAACUCAUUUAAUCAUUUUACAUUUCACCUGAUAU